rnacentral:tRNA from 1 species
GCGCCCGUAGCUCAGCGGAACAGAGCACCGGAUUACGGAUCCGGGGGUCGGGAGUUCGAAUCUCUCCGGGCGCA